GGGGAAUAUUGCACAAUGGGCGCAAGCCUGAUGCAGCAACGCCGCGUGGAGGAAGACGGUUUUCGGAUUGUAAACUCCUGCUCUUAGUGACGAAGAAGUGACGGUAGCUAAGGAGCAAGCCACGGCUAACUACGUGCCAGCAGCCGCGGUAAUACGUAGGUGGCGAGCGUUAUCCGGAUUUACUGGGUGUAAAGGGAGCGCAGGCGGGAGGACAAGUCAGCUGUGAAAUCUAUGGGCUCAACCCAUAAACUGCAGUUGAAACUGUUUUUCUUGAGUGGAGUAGAGGCAAGCGGAAUUCCGAGUGUAGCGGUGAAAUGCGUAGAUAUUCGGAGGAACACCAGUGGCGAAGGCGGCUUGCUGGGCUCUAACUGACACUGAGGUACGAAAGCGUUGGGAGCAAACA
rnacentral:rRNA from 1 species